UACAGAGGUCUCAAGCGUUGUUCGGAUUCAUUGGGCGUAAAGGGUGUGUAGGUGGCGCCGUAAGUCGGGUGUGAAAUUUCGGAGCUUAACUCCGAAACUGCAUUCGAUACUGCGGUGCUUGAGGACUGGAGAGGAGACUGGAAUUCAUGGUGUAGCAGUGAAAUGCGUAGAUAUCGUAAGGAAGGCCGGUGGCGAAAGCGAGCCUCUGGACAGUAACUGACGCUGAGGAGCGAAAGCGUGGGGAGCGAACAGG
rnacentral:rRNA from 1 species